ensembl:lncRNA
GUCAGUCAGUGCGCAUGGCAAUGGCCUCUCGGGAUCAUUCCUCACGGCCUAAAUUAAACGUGUCCUCCAGUUGGAGGCCUGGCCGGGCUGUUGUCAUGGGAACGCUGGUUUUCUUAUGCGCGCGUUCAACACACCGAGGCGAGGAUUAAUCCGUCCGAAUAGAAACUUAAGUAAUGUAAACACGACGGUUUGACUGUUUAAACCAACCACGGUCUGAACCACGGUAUGAUGGUUUGAGGCAGAGUUUGAUCGUUAGAACCACAGUUUGGUGGCUUGAACCACGGUUUGAUGGUUGGAACCGAAUACGUCGACCACCCCGUCGUUCUCGAGGGCCGCUGAGACGAAGAUAGGUCACGACAGGGUCGUGAUGAGACGCAUGGCUGGCCGCCAUCGGCUCUCCAGAGGAAAGCGCCUGGGAAUAACCUGGACGACCCAAACAAAGAUGGAGAUGUUCCUCUUAUGGGGCCCAGUGGAUCUGAUGCCCUCCUGGGAGGUUCUCCGGCCCAGCAGUCCCCACAUCCUGGAGCCUGCAGGAAGAGAAGGAACCCCCCCCCGUUAGCAUCUGAAGGGUGUCUCUCCUGGUGGCCUGCUGAUGACAGGGUGUCUCUCCUGGUGGCCUGCUGGCGGCCUGCUGCUGACAGGGUGUCUCUCUUGGUGGCCUGCUGGCUGCCUGCUGACGGGGUGUCUCUCCUGGUGGCCUGCUGACAGGUUGUCUCUCCUGGUGGCCUGCUGACAGGGUGUCUCUCUUGGUGGCGAUCUGAGACGUUGAGCCUUAAUUGGAGGCGGGUCAGGAUCAUGUGUGUCUCGCCAUCAGCUGAACGCAGACGGGGUUGACCUCGAUGGAGCGACGCUGCAGACGGGGAGGAGCGGGAGAAGGUGUUUGUCCGGAGAUAAGGAAUGGUUUGGGUCGGACCCCGUGCAGGACCUCCUGUCCAACACUGGACGGAUGUGAUUUGGGUUUUCAUGUUCCUCCCUCUUGCUGCUGCGCUCGCUGCAGGCCAGUGGAGCAGGAGAAACAUCUGGCCGAGCGUGACAGACUCCACUGAACCGAGUGGAACAGGGCGCUGCGGACCAGCGCGUCUAUAGGUCUGGAAGAACAACCGACCUCUCUUGUUGUCUGUGGUUGGACAACACUGUACUCCCCUCUUAGUCUGAAACCCCCUGUCUUCUCCAAACCCCUAUUUAUAUAGUUUGAUUUUGUUGAGUUUUUUUGCCUUCAUUUAUCU